rnacentral:lncRNA from 1 species
UGAGAGUAGAAAUGGACCUCAAAAAUAAACUCAUCAGUAUUAAUGAGAAAUCAGCUACAGUAGACACUAAUGGACUGAAACUGACUGAAUAUGCAAGAAAAUUCUUGAUUAACUUCGUUUGAUUGAAAUCAAAAGAAAUCCGGCAACAAAUAUUUGAAACGAAUAACAGUAAAUAAGCAGGAAUUCGAACCAGUAACCAAAUUCUAGUGGCAAACUCGACUCCGUCUCAAUCGAACUCCAUUUGAACAAAAUCCAAAAUUGAAAUGAACUAACAAAUAUCUACAUUUUGAUUUUUUUUUGUAUUUUUCCGAAAUUAACUAUGUCAAGAAAUCUAGAUAAUGAAUAAGGUAAAUAGAAAUAUUCCUUUCUAAAUCUAGCUCCUUUCCUUCUUAUCACUCUUUCUCUGUCUGUUCUCUUUUUAUAAGUGUGUGUGUGGCUAUUUCUGGGCAGCAGAAAGCGGUGAUUUGCGGCGAGCUGUGGUGGUGUAAGGGUGGUGGAUUUGGGUCUAUUAAGGGUUGAAGAAGAAGAAUCUUAGGAUGUGUUCAAAAUAGGAAAUGACUUGUUAUUUUUAGGUGAAGGAGAAAGGUCACUGUGUUGGAAGGGUAGGCGGCUAGUUUGGUUGGUUAGUGUUCCGGCUAGUUUUGGUUGAGUAUCCGGCGAAGAUGGGGCGGGCUAUUUAGGGUGUGUGUGGAAUGUGGAUAAGAAGAUCAAAGGGUCUUCUUUUUUGUGAGGGUGCCGAUCUCUGUGGGUGUGUUAGCUCUAGGUUGAAUAAGCUGGUUUGUA